AAUAUUGGACAAUGGGUGAAAGCCUGAUCCAGCCAUGCCGCGUGUUUGAAGAAGGUCUUCGGAUUGUAAAGCACGUUUAGUUGGGAAGAAGGGUCGUAGAUUAAUACUCUGCAAUUUUGACGUUACCAACAGAAUAAGUACCGGCUAACUCCGAGCUAGCAGCCGAGGUAAUAUGAAGGGUGCAAGCGUUAAUCGGAAUUACUGGGCGUAAAGCGCGCGUAGGUGGUUUGUCAAGUUGGAAGUGAAAGCCCCGGGCUCAACCUGGGAACUGCUUUCAAAACUGGCAAGCUAGAGUAUGGCAGAGGGUGGUGGAAUCUCCUGUGUAGCGGUGAAAUGCGUAGAUAUAGGAAGGAACACCAGUGGCGAAGGCGACUACCUGGACUGAUACUGACACUGAGGUGCGAAAGCGUGGGGAGCAAAC
rnacentral:rRNA from 1 species